GAUGAACGCUAGCGGCAGGCCUAACACAUGCAAGUCGAACGGUAACAGAUCUAGCUUGCUAGAUGCUGACGAGUGGCGCACGGGUGCGUAACGCGUAUACAAUCUACCUUUAACUGAGGCAUAGCCCAGAGAAAUUUGGAUUAAUACCUCAUAGUAUUAUAUUAAGGCAUCUUUUUAUAAUUAAAACUCCGGUGGUUAAAGAUGAGUAUGCGUCCUAUUAGCUUGUUGGUAAGGUAAAAGCUUACCAAGGCUACGAUAGGUAGGGGGCCUGAAAGGGUGAUCCCCCACACUGGUACUGAGACACGGACCAGACUCCUACGGGAGGCAGCAGUGAGGAAUAUUGCACAAUGGAGGAAACUCUGAUGCAGCCAUGCCGCGUGCAGGAUGAAUGCCCUAUGGGUUGUAAACUGCUUUUAUACAAGAAGAAACCUCGGUACGUGUACCGACUUGACGGUAUUGUAUGAAUAAGCACCGGCUAACUCCGUGCCAGCAGCCGCGGUAAUACGGAGGGUGCAAGCGUUAUCCGGAUUUAUUAGGUUUAAAGGGUCCGCAGGCGGAAUAUUAAGUCAGUGGUGAAAGCCUACAGCUCAACUGUAGAACUGCCAUUGAAACUGUUAUUCUUGAGUAUGGAUGAAGUGGGCGGAAUAUGUCAUGUAGCGGUGAAAUGCAUAGAUAUGACAUGGAACACCAAUUGCGAAGGCAGCUCACUAAACCAUUACUGACGCUCAUGGACGAAAGCGUGGGGAGCGAACAGGAUUAGAUACCCUGGUAGUCCACGCCGUAAACGAUGAUCACUAGAUGUUGGCGAUAUAAUGUCAGCGUUCAAGAGAAAUCGAUAAGUGAUCCACCUGGGGAGUACGUUCGCAAGAAUGAAACUCAAAGGAAUUGACGGGGGCCCGCACAAGCGGAGGAGCAUGUGGUUUAAUUCGAUGAUACGCGAGGAACCUUACCAAGGCUUAAAUGUAAUAUGACCGGUUGAGAGAUCAACCUUUUUUCGAACAGAUUACAAGGUGCUGCAUGGUUGUCGUCAGCUCGUGCCGUGAGGUGUCGGGUUAAGUCCCAUAACGAGCGCAACCCCUAUUUUUAGUUACCAGCGAGUAAUGUCGGGAACUCUAGAAAAACUGCCUGUGCAAACAGAGAGGAAGGUGGGGAUGACGUCAAAUCAUCACGGCCCUUAUGUCUUGGGCUACACACGUGCUACAAUGGUUACUACAAUGUGAUGCCAUCUGGUGACAGAGAGCUAAUCAAUAAAGGUAAUCUCAGUUCGGAUUGGAGUCUGCAACUCGACUCUAUGAAGUUGGAUUCGCUAGUAAUCGUAUAUCAGCCAUGAUACGGUGAAUACGUUCCCGGGCCUUGUACACACCGCCCGUCAAGCCAUGGAAGUUUGGGGUACCUGAUGUCAGUAACCGCAAGGAACUGCCUAGGGUAAAACAAAUAACUAGGGCUAAGUCGUAACAAGGUAGCCGUACCGGAAGGUGUGGCUGGAAUAUCUCUUUU
rnacentral:rRNA from 1 species